UGUCCUAUGUCAUGUCCUAUCCCUGUAGGUCACAGUAGAUAUACACCUCAAUGUCAUGUCCUAUCCCUGUAGGUCACAGUAGAUAUACACCUCAAUGUCAUGUCCUAUGUCAUGUCCUAUCCCUGUAGGUCACAGUAGAUAUACACCUCAAUGUCAUGUCCUACGUCAUGUCCUAUCCCUGUAGGUCACAGUAAACACACACCUCAAUGUCAUGUCCUACGUCAUGUCCUAUCCCUGUAGGUCACAGUAAAC